rnacentral:rRNA from 1 species
AUGAACGCUAGCGGCAGGCUUAACACAUGCAAGUCGAGGGGCAGCAUAAUGGAUAGCAAUAUCUAUGGUGGCGACCGGCGCACGGGUGCGUAACGCGUAUGCAACCUACCUUUAACAGGGGGAUAACACUGAGAAAUUGGUACUAAUACCCCAUAAUAUCAUAGAAGGCAUCUUUUAUGGUUGAAAAUUCCGAUGGUUAGAGAUGGGCAUGCGUUGUAUUAGCUAGUUGGUGGGGUAACGGCUCACCAAGGCGACGAUACAUAGGGGGACUGAGAGGUUAACCCCCCACACUGGUACUGAGACACGGACCAGACUCCUACGGGAGGCAGCAGUGAGGAAUAUUGGUCAAUGGACGCAAGUCUGAACCAGCCAUGCCGCGUGCAGGAUGACGGCUCUAUGAGUUGUAAACUGCUUUUGUACGAGGGUAAACGCAGAUACGUGUAUCUGUCUGAAAGUAUCGUACGAAUAAGGAUCGGCUAACUCCGUGCCAGCAGCCGCGGUAAUACGGAGGAUUCAAGCGUUAUCCGGAUUUAUUGGGUUUAAAGGGUGCGUAGGCGGUUUGAUAAGUUAGAGGUGAAAUUUCGGGGCUCAACCCUGAACGUGCCUCUAAUACUGUUGAGCUAGAGAGUAGUUGCGGUAGGCGGAAUGUAUGGUGUAGCGGUGAAAUGCUUAGAGAUCAUACAGAACACCGAUUGCGAAGGCAGCUUACCAAACUAUAUCUGACGUUGAGGCACGAAAGCGUGGGGAGCAAACAGGAUUAGAUACCCUGGUAGUCCACGCAGUAAACGAUGAUAACUCGUUGUCGGCGAUACACAGUCGGUGACUAAGCGAAAGCGAUAAGUUAUCCACCUGGGGAGUACGUUCGCAAGAAUGAAACUCAAAGGAAUUGACGGGGGCCCGCACAAGCGGAGGAACAUGUGGUUUAAUUCGAUGAUACGCGAGGAACCUUACCCGGGCUUGAAUUGCACUCGAAUGAUCCGGAAACGGUUCAGCUAGCAAUAGCGAGUGUGAAGGUGCUGCAUGGUUGUCGUCAGCUCGUGCCGUGAGGUGUCGGCUUAAGUGCCAUAACGAGCGCAACCCCUCUUCUUAGUUGCCAUCAGGUUAGGCUGGGCACUCUGGGGACACUGCCACCGUAAGGUGUGAGGAAGGUGGGGAUGACGUCAAAUCAGCACGGCCCUUACGCCCGGGGCUACACACGUGUUACAAUGGUAGGUACAGAGGGCAGCUACCCAGCGAUGGGAUGCGAAUCUCGAAAGCCUAUCUCAGUUCGGAUUGGAGGCUGAAACCCGCCUCCAUGAAGUUGGAUUCGCUAGUAAUCGCGCAUCAGCCAUGGCGCGGUGAAUACGUUCCCGGGCCUUGUACACACCGCCCGUCAAGCCAUGGGAGCCGGGGGUGCCUGAAGUUCGUGACCGCAAGGAGCGACCUAGGGCAAAACUGGUGACUGGGGCU